rnacentral:piRNA from 4 species
GCAGAGCAGCUCCCUCGCUGCGAUCU